ensembl:lncRNA
AAUCCAGGAGGCUUCCCUUGUGUGGUGAAGAUGGACAACUACUGACAGAGGACACUGCAACAAAAGUAGCAGGAGAGGAUUACAUUUGAUUUUAGCAGAGUACAGUGUGAAAACUGAGCGAAGAAGCUAUUUCUAGAAGAAAGCAGCAUGUGUAACAGCAAUAAGAGUAAGAAUCAGUCUUGCCCUUCUAACUCCAACUCCAUCUGCUGAUCACUCAUAUGAGAGUUCUAACAUCAGAGCU